UAAUUAGGGUAAUUUGAGUGAUAUUAGUUAGUUGGUUACAAAAUUUUGGAACAUAUUCAAAUGAUAAUAGGUAGGAUCAUUCGUGUCUCUGGAUAGCAAAAAGAAUUCUAAGCAAGACAAUAAAGUUAUUAAUCUUUUUUCUACUAGAUGAAAAUGUAUGCUUUAAAAAAAUAACAAAUAACAUUGGGACUAGAUAGUCAGUUUCUCCCUGACACAGCUCCCAAUGCAAAACCCUUGGCAGGUCCCUGGCCGUUUAACCGGCCUGAAACCACCGUCGUUUGCUGCUGGCGAACCUCUCCUCCCCCCGCCAAUCCCACCUGAUCCUCCAGACAGCUCGUCAUCCCUCUCUCCCCAACACUUUCCACCACUAUCCUCUCCACCUUCUGCUCCAAUUUCCACUGGUCCUUCUACAGUACGUAAGGGAUCUAAGUACGCUCUCUCUACUACUGAUGUCACUAUGGCACCGGUUGAUUCUCUGAACUCAGCUCUCCCUCAAUUUGGUACAAUCUCCUCCAUACCAAAAGAGGGGCUGGAAAACUAAACUGGUCCAAUUCCUGAAUCUGAGAAAGUAACUGUUCCACACUCUGGAUCUGAACCUAACAUUUCUGAAACCCUAAAAAAUAUCCCACCAAAAAACUCCCCCAUUUUCACAAACAAGGCCUCUUCUCACCCAACUUCCCCUUUGGCAUCAACUACCUCUGAGCUCAACCCUAUUGAACAUGUCUCUUCAUCUCCUCCGCCUUUAGCCACUUCCUCUGCUCCCCUUCCCAAACCCUCUUCCCAACCAGUGCGUCAAACUCUAGUCGAAAGACUUCGCCUCUCUGAGGACAAAUCUCUUCAGAGACUAGCCCCUGUUACCAUAGCCCCCUCAGGCAGACCAAGGGUGCUUAUUCCAGAUUCAGUUUUCCAAAAAGGUGCUGAUAUCCAUAAGGACUUCAUCAUCUGCUACUUUAAUGGUAAAGAUCUGCCCUUUAGCCAGACACAAAGCGUUUUCAACCACCUGUGGGGAAAAGGGAAACGUUUGGAAAUUCACAACAAUCCUGUCAACAGAACGGUUCUAGUACGUAUACAGAGUGAUUACCUUAGACAGAAGAUCUUGGAGAAGAACAUAUGGUAUGUAGGAGACUCCAUGUUCCACACUGCUCUUUGGUCCUCUGUCCACUCAAAGAAUACUCCACCUUUGAAAGCAAUCAAGAUCUGGGCUCACCUCACGGGUGUACCGCUAGACCUGCGCUACAAAGAGGGUCUUAGCUUAGUAAAUACCCCUCGUGGCCGGGGCUCGAACUCGGGUGGCGGACACCUCAGCCGAGGUUCCUUUACCACCAAACAAAACCUUUUUAUCUAACCUAGUAUUUGUGUGUUCGUAGAUUUUUGAUUGCAUGUCAAUGUCAUGCAAUUUUCUUGGGCUCCUUAACAUGUUCAGUAUGUUUUUAGCAUUAUCUUAUACUGAAGUUUUUUAUAUGUCAACCUUACAUUCAAGUUACUCACCUAUUUUCACAGAAACAUAAUAUAUAUGACCGAUGAUUGAUGAGAGGUCAUGUGAUUAAGAUAUACAUUUGUUAUAUCAUUUACAAAGUCAUUUGAUGGUAAUGCAAAACCCUUGGAUCCCACCUGAUCCUCCAGACAGCUCGUCAUCCCUCUCUCCCCAACACUUUCCACCACUAUCCUCUCCACCUUCUGCUCCAAUUUCCACUGGUCCUUCUACAGUACGUAAGGGAUCUAAGUACGCUCUCUCUACUACUGAUGUCACUAUGGCACCGGUUGAUUCUCUGAACUCAGCUCUCCCUCAAUUUGGUACAAUCUCCUCCAUACCAAAAGAGGGGCUGGAAAACUAAACUGGUCCAAUUCCUGAAUCUGAGAAAGUAACUGUUCCACACUCUGGAUCUGAACCUAACAUUUCUGAAACCCUAAAAAAUAUCCCACCAAAAAACUCCCCCAUUUUCACAAACAAGGCCUCUUCUCACCCAACUUCCCCUUUGGCAUCAACUACCUCUGAGCUCAACCCUAUUGAACAUGUCUCUUCAUCUCCUCCGCCUUUAGCCACUUCCUCUGCUCCCCUUCCCAAACCCUCUUCCCAACCAGUGCGUCAAACUCUAGUCGAAAGACUUCGCCUCUCUGAGGACAAAUCUCUUCAGAGACUAGCCCCUGUUACCAUAGCCCCCUCAGGCAGACCAAGGGUGCUUAUUCCAGAUUCAGUUUUCCAAAAAGGUGCUGAUAUCCAUAAGGACUUCAUCAUCUGCUACUUUAAUGGUAAAGAUCUGCCCUUUAGCCAGACACAAAGCGUUUUCAACCACCUGUGGGGAAAAGGGAAACGUUUGGAAAUUCACAACAAUCCUGUCAACAGAACGGUUCUAGUACGUAUACAGAGUGAUUACCUUAGACAGAAGAUCUUGGAGAAGAACAUAUGGUAUGUAGGAGACUCCAUGUUCCACACUGCUCUUUGGUCCUCUGUCCACUCAAAGAAUACUCCACCUUUGAAAGCAAUCAAGAUCUGGGCUCACCUCACGGGUGUACCGCUAGACCUGCGCUACAAAGAGGGUCUUAGCUUAGUUGCUGGACUAGUUGGAGACCCCAAAGAGACAGACGAUUUUACGUUGAACCUUGUAAGCUUAACUCUGGCUCAUGUGAAGGUUGAGGUCGACCUAACUAAACCACUACCCUCUGUUGUUGAAUUUGAACGCCAAAGUGGAGAGGUGGUUGAAGUCUCUGUCCAUUAUCUUUGGGUUCCACCCACAUGCUCUCACUGCCAUGAACUUGGUCAUAUUGUGCGGAAUUGCCUUCUCUAUACCUCUCCAGCUGAGGACUCCACUGCUGACCAGGGAAAGAAAAACCCUGAACCUGUCAAGCAUAACAAGAAGUACCAGAGUGUAGUUAAACCCAAACAAAGUACCUAUGUAAGAAAAUAUCAGUUACCUUCAAAGGCUGCUGCUCAAAAUCCAGUACCAAUGGGAUCAGAGUCUCCUAAUAUUAAUCUGAUCAACAACUUUGUUUCUCUGGCCUCUAACGAAGGGACCCCUCAGAUAGUGAUGUCCAGUGGUCGUUUUGCUGGUUCCCAACUUCUUUCUCUCCCACCCUCAUCCAACCCUUUCUUAUCUCCUGAUCCUCCCCCUAGACCCUCCUUAAAACGAUCUCGCUCCUCACCCACCCUGUCCCCGCCUUUAACUUCCCAGCCUACACCUUUUCACCAAUUUAAAACCCCUUCAAAAACCUCUUAAAACCCUUUGUUUCCCUUCACGAACUCCCCCUCGCUUGAUGUCUUAAACCCCCGACCCUUCAACCAGACCCUUUCCCUUACUCUUCCUCCUCCUCUCCCCUCUGCCCCUGAUCCUACUACAACUUCUUCUUAUGUUUUUCCAGUCUCUCCUAUUCUUUCGGGAGAGCAAAUCAACAUUUCUUAAUGAGUGUAAAACUCUUUUUUUGGAAUGUUCGGGGACUUAAUGAACCAACUAAACACGGACCUUUUAUUUCUUGGUUUAAUACUCAUAGACCCCUUUUUGGUGCUAUUCUUGAAUCACAUGUUAAAGAACCUUCUCUAAACACUAUCUUAUCUAGCCUUUGCCCAGGAUGGUGCUUCACUUCCAAUCACUCCUCUGAACCUGAUGGCGAAUCCUUUUAAUUUGGAGAGACUCCCUAAAGGUCCAAAUCCUUGCUCAAUCUAACCAAUGCAUCACUUGCAAGAUUGUUUUCCCAAACCAAGCGCCCAUCAUCUACUCUGCCAUAUACGCCUCAAAUCUAAGUGCUGAUCGAGUUGACCUCUGGGCAGAGCUCAUACAACUCCAGUCCUACCUUGAUUUAGAAAACUGCUGCUGGGUUUUGGGUGGUGACUUCAAUCAGAUUCUCAGGCUUUCUGAACACUCAAAUGGCCACCUUAAUACUCCAGACAGCCUCAUGUAUCAGCUCCAAGACUGUCUACUCCAACUUGGAGUCUUUGAUUUGCGCUUCAUAGGUCCUGCUCACACCUGGACAAAUAGCCAACCCUCAAACCCUAUCUCAAAGAAACUCGAUCGCCUCCUUGUCAACCCCUAUAUUGUCGCAACUUUCCCUAAUGCCCUAGCCUCCUUCCUCCCUCCCCUCAUCUCUGACCAUGCUCCUUGUAUCCUAGACUUAGCUUUCUCCCUACCAAAAGCUGGAACUCAGCCCUUCAAAUUCCAAAACUACCUGACAAAACACCCAAAGUUUUCGCAGCUAAUUAACGAUGUGUGGUUCCAAGCCGGUUCUGCAUGCCAAACCCUUACUCAGC
rnacentral:lncRNA from 1 species